rnacentral:lncRNA from 1 species
AAUAUUGUGGCUAGUGCAGUGCAUCCCAUUAACUAGAACCCAGAUAUCUGAAGAUGCAAAAUGACUGGAAACCUGUAUUUAAUUCCAUAUAAGACUUGCAGGUUCAGAAAGUGCAAGUCUACUAAAUUGGAAUGUUCUGCUUUGAUUUCUUAACAGAGAGAAGAUUUAUGGAGGAAUUUUGAGUCCCCAUCUGAUGUGCUGACUGCAUGCUAUAUUGCUGAGGUUAUGUUGCUAUAUAACCCGCACAGUCCAGAGGAAUAAGACUGCUGCAGAGGCAUUUCUCAAAAUGGUGCCGUACCAUGACAUCUCUUGCAUCUCAGCAGUUUUCUCAUUUCUAGUUGCUUACAUUAAAGUGUAUGUGCACUUCCUCACAGAUACAUACGAGGUACAAUAAGAACAAACAAAAUCUCUGAAAUUAUAUUCCCACUGAGCUAUCAUGAAU